rnacentral:rRNA from 1 species
UACGAAGGGGGCUAGCGUUGCUCGGAAUGACUGGGCGUAAAGGGCGCGUAGGCGGUUUGGACAGUCAGAUGUGAAAUUCCUGGGCUCAACCUGGGGGCUGCAUUUGAUACGUUCGGACUAGAGUGGGGAAGAGGGUCGUGGAAUUCCCAGUGUAGAGGUGAAAUUCGUAGAUAUUGGGAAGAACACCGAUGGCGAAGGCAGCCAUCUGGACCGACACUGACGCUGAGGCGCGAAAGCGUGGGGAGCAAACAGG